UUGUGUGGUAAGAAAUCAUCUGCUUUUAACUUCAUCGUGGGUUUUCUUGGGAUUCUACGGUUAGGCUUUCGCUAAAUGAGAUUCAAUUGUUGUGGUUUUUUGUCUCAGCUGAAGGUUACGAUCUUCGGUUGAUGAUUAUCGCUAGGUUCGAUCGUUGCUUCUAUGGUUGUGAUGAUUUGAUUAAUUUGAAGCUUAUUAUCGCUAAUUUUUUUUAUAGCGACUUUUGAGAUUUAAUCAUGGUUUUUUUUUGGCGGUUGAUCGGGUAUUUCGAAGGAUUGAACGGGAAGGAUACCAGUUUUUGCACUAGAUUCGGUUUGUUUACGUGGUAAUUUCUGGAUCAUUCCAAUUAUCGGACAAAUUUGACAUCAAAUUUCCUUCAAAAUUAGCCCUGUUUUGGUUCAAAAAUAGCCCCGUUUUGGUUCUUCUUUCUGGUUUUCUUGCCGUGCUUCUUGUAGAAUGAUGGAUUUCGGGCGGAUGGAGUAGGAAGCAACUUUCUGUUGGAUGGAUGUGAGCGUAAUCUGAAUCUGGAGUUUUUAUUUAAUCUGUGGCUGUUAUUGUUGUUGUGAUUGCUGUAGGCGGUGCUCUGGACUUUCGGUAGUUUUGGCGUGUUGUCUAUCCAGGAUUGAUGAGGAAGAUUGAGUUUUUACUAUUAUUGGGUUUGUUAAUUAGUAAUUUCUCGAUCGUUCUUUGUUAUCAAGAUUCGUCUUUUUUUCCUUGGUUCUUUUGAUGUUCUCGUUGUGGCGUGGCAGAAUCCUAGUCUUCGGUGGGGCUAAAAAAAGACUUUCUGGAUGCGAAUAUCAUACUACGACACCGGGAGUUUUUCCCUCGUCCCUUUUUUUUGGUUUCCUUUUUUAUUUCCUGAAAAAAUUAACUGGGGAGUCAAUUAGCAACUGGCCUUAUCUGUUGUAUUGAUUUAGGGGAGCUUGGAUGCAGGAGGCUCUGGUCAUGUUUUUUACGCUGCUAUACUGGUUUGCAAGAUUCCUGAAGUUUUCUCUGUCUUUGAUUGUUUUCAGCUGUUUGAUGCUGAUUUGCUCUGUGAGACAGCGAGUUCGUUUUCUGAUCUCCUGCAUUUGUGUUGUGCAAUAUAGGGUUUCAGUGAUUCGGAGUUGUAGUGACAACUGAGCCUUCCUUCCUCGGAUGGUAAACUGUUUUGGAGGGAGUUAUAUUCUUCCAAACAAUCUUGUGCUUUUGUCACCUUUUGAUAUCUGCAGACCUUUUCUUCCCAGGACAAACACCAUUGAAAUAGCUUCCAACCUCUCCAUUCAAUUUUGCCUCCACCUGGUUUGCUCCUGCUGCUGCGUUUUGCCCAUUUGUUCUCUUUAGGCUUUUGAAUUUAUUUUGGUUCCCUGCCUUCUGUCUUUGGGAAUGGUUCUCAGAUGCUUAGGAUCGUAUCAAUAUGGUAAUAUUGAUGUUGUCAAGUAUUUCUUAGCUUUUAAAUUCUGGUUCUUUUGAUGUGAUCUUAGAAUGAUGGAGUUCUGUGUAUGAAAGUGAAAAGAGCUCUUCCUGGAUGGAUAGAAGCAAAAAGAACUCUUCUUGGAUGGAUGAAGGGAAGUUUGGAUCGGAGCAUUUUCAUCAUGUUUGUUACCCUGCUAUUCGGGCUUAACAAGAUUUUGGAGGACCUCUAUUUCCCUGCUUGUUUUCUGCUGUUUUGUUGAAGUUGAUUAGGACAUUUGUGGAUUUGCUCUGCUUGUUCUCUAAUUUCCUAUAUUACUAGGGUGUUGCAACUUUGGGUUCCAGUGAUUUGUGAUUCAAACUUGCCUUUCCAUCCUCAGAUCAAGGGCUUGUAAAAUUUUUUGGAGGGAGUUAAUUUCUCACCUACGCUAAUUGUUCUUUUGUGCUUGAGGAAUUUAGGGGGUUGGACACCAUAUUUAUAAUAUAAUUUGUCCGUGAAUCUUUUUGGUCUGCAGCAUGUCAUGCAGAGUCAACUUUCCUGAUCCACUCUGAAUAGAACGGGUUGUAACCAAGUGCAUAACUUUGCUAUUCAACCGUUUAUUUCUGGAAAAACUGUGUGAAUGCUUUCAACCUACCCAUUCAAUUCACCUAAGGUUAGCAUUUUUUUUUGGCUUUUGGAUUUGAUGGACUAGCUUAAUCCAGUGCUUUUCUUUGGGGAUGGUUAUGUGCUGCUCAGUAUAUAACAGGAAGUAGAUUCCGUCAUCAAACUUUUGUAUGGGUGGGGGUCCUGGUAUUUUGCUUAUGCAGCUUGAUCUGAAGAAGAGUUAAGGCUAUGCAUAUUGGUUUGAUUGAAUGGUAAAUUGUUCAGAGUUUUUAUUUGAGGAUUAUUCUUGGCUUUGUGCCAAGUCUUUUGAUCCAUUCCUUUAUUGAGGGUGGUGAUGGAACAUGGGCUUUUGGAUGCCAUUUUUUUAGAAUUAUGGGAUGUGAUUCUUCGUGGAAUUAUGCAAUGGAUGUGAAUGUGAUCCUUGAUUUUGCUUUCUGCUUUAUUUUUGCAUUGCUGUAGGCAGCAGUUCUGGUUUUUCAGCAGUCUCCCUAUAGAGUGGAUUGGUAAAAGGACUUGACGCUAAUUACUGUGUUUUGUUCUUGGUGAUUUUUCAAGAUUUGUCUUGUCUUCUGGUUUUUUUGAUGUCUUUCAAGAAUAGUGGAUUUCUGGUGUGUGGAGGCGAGAGGAGUUCUCUCUUGGAUGGAUGUGAAUAAAAUCGGGAGAUUUCUUUUCAACCUGGUCUUUCUUUGUUCCCUCUGCCUGAAAAAAUCAAGGUGGCGGUUGGUGAUGCCUUCUGUCUGUUGUGUUGAUUUUAGGGAAGCUUGUUGUAGGAGUGUUGGUGUGUUUGGUACCCUGCUAACGGGUUUUGUAACAAGAUUUUGGAUAAGCUUUCUCUUUCCCUGCUCUUUUUUUUUGCUGUUUCUUUAAAAAUGAUUUUCUCUACUUGUUCUCUAAUUUACUAUAUCAUUUUGUGUGGAAUCUAGGAUUCUGGUGAUUCAGAGGUGUGGCCAAAACUUAGGUCUCUGUCCUCAAGAUCAAAGGCUAGUACAUUAUUAUAGAGGGGGAUUUAUCUUCUUAUCUAUGCUUAUCAUUUUUUUUUUUUUGCUUGAGCAUUUUACAGGUUUUAGUACUUUUUGAUGUCUGCAGACUAUUAUAAAUAUAAUCUAGUUUUUUUGUAAAUCUUUUCUUCCAUAGUCCACCAUGUUUGUAGAAAUGUUAUGCAUUACUUGUUUUGUCAGUAAUUGCUUGGAAGUCUUGUGUUCCUGAUCCUCAAGGAAAAGGUAUCACUGCUUAAUCCCAGCGAUUAAUGGUUGGACACCUUCGACCUGCCCAUUCAAUUCACAUGCACCCAUUUUGCUGCUUAUCCCAUGCCUUAUUUAUGUCUGGGGAAUGGUUCUCAGAUGCUUAGGAUCUUACCAGUUUGGCGAUUUUGAUCUUCUGAAGUAUUUCUUAGUGCUCAAAUUCUGCCACUAAACAUGUUUUAAGGUAGGUUCUGGUGUUUUGGUGGUUCAUCAUGAUCUGAAGUUUAUGCUUGUUAUAUGAAUAGGUUUGGGGUUAUGGUAGGUAAUCUAAAUUUGUAAAAAGCUGGUGUUAUUUGUUCAUUCCAUUGUCAGUUCUCAUCUGUGUCAAAUUUUGAAUUUUUGUUGGCUUUUUGUGUUGCUUUCCGCAGUCAAAGGGAGGUCUCUGGGAUGUGUCUCUUCGUGAAUAAAUUGGAUGGGUCUGAAUGUAAUGUAAAAUCUGGAGCUUUUACCUGGACCUCCAGGUGGUGUUUUGUUGUUGCUUUAGGUGGUGUUGCUGUAGGUGGUGGCUCUGGGCUUCCAGAAGUUUCUCUGUGGUGUUGAUUAAGAAUUGAUCAUGAAGGCCUGCACUUUCUUGCACUUUUGCAGUAUGUUGAAUACUUCGUGAAUGGUACUCGUUCUUUUCUUUUUCCAAGAUUGUCUCUUCUUUUCUGGUUCUUUUGGUGUGGUUGUCUUAGAAUGCUGGAGUUCUGUAUGGGCAAAAAGUGCUCUCUUCUCUUGGAUGGAUGUGGUAAAUCGGAGUUCUCUUGUUUGUUCUGUUUGCCUUGAGAUCACUGGUGUUUGUUGGUAAUGGCUUCUCUCUUGUCUUCAUUUUAGGAUAGCUUGGAUCAAAGCAUUGUUAUCAUGUUUGUUACUGUGCUAUUCUGGGCGAAAAGAUUUUGGAGGAGCUCUCCCUUUCCCUACUUGUUUUCUGUUGUUUCCUUGAAAUUGAUUGAGAGAUCUCUGGAUGGUAGAUCUGCUCUGUCUUAUAAUUUCCUAUAUUACUAGGGCUUCAGUGAAGGUGGUUCAACUUACCUCUCCAUUCUCGGAUCAAGGGCUAGUAAACUUAUUUGGAGGGAGUUAUUUUCUCACCUAUACUAAUUUAUCUUUUGUGCACGAGGAAUUUAGGGGUUUUGACACUAUAUAAUUUUUCUGUUAAUCUUUUCUUAUUCUGUCUCCAUUAUUUGGUCUGGUGGUAAUCCCUGCAGAGUUGACUUUCCUGAUCCAUGAGAAAUAGAUUGAGGUAUAACCAAGUGUAUAGCUCUGCUUAUUCUCAACUUUUUUUUUUCUAAACCAUCUAUGAAUUGUCUUCUGUCCAUUCAAUUCACCUAUGUUAUUGUACCCUAUUGUUCUUUUCUUGUGUUUCGUAUUUUGAUGGAUUAGCUUAGUCCAGGACUUCUCUUUGGGGAUGGCUCUGCGGUGCUUGGUAUCUAACGGGAAUUAAAUUCUGUCAUCUAACAUGUCUCUAUAGGUAGUGUUUUUGGUGGUGCUGAUUCAUCAUGGUCUGAAGAAGAUUGAAUGCUACAUUUGUCAGUUCUGAUAAUAUUCUAGAUGAUCUACAAUUUUUAUUUCAUCUUUGUGCCAAGUUCAAGUCUUUGUUGGCUAUUCAUGUUUUCACUCACUUGCAGAAUUCUACUGAGGGUGGUGACUGAAUAUGGGCUUUUGAGGUGAUGAUUCUUAAAAAUUAUUGGAUGGAUGUGAAUGUAAUCUGUAAUCUGGAGUUUUGCUUUCUGCAUCAUUGUUGCAUUGCUAUAGGCAGUUGCUUUACUGUUUGUUCCGAUCUUGGUGAUGUUUCAAGAUUUCGUUUCCUCUGGUUCUGGUUCUUUUGAUGUCGUCUUUCAGGAAUAGUGGACUUCUGGUUUGCGGAGGGUAGAAGAGCUUUCAUUUGGAUGGAUUUGAAUUAAAUUGGGAGUUUUUCUUGCCAACGUGGUCUUUGUUCUCUUUCCUGGAAAAUUCACUGGGGGUAUUUGGUGACGAUUUCUAUCUGUUGUCUUGAUUUUAGGGAAGCUUGAACGGGGACUAUUGGCCAUGUUUGGGAUCCCUGCUAUUUGGUUUUGUGAUAAGAUUUUGGAUGAGCUUUUCUCUUUCCCAACCUUUUUUUUUCUAUUUUUUUUUCAUUUUCUUGAAAAAUGAUUUUCUCUCUGUUCUUUAAUUUACUAUAUUAUUUUUUGCGAGUCUAGGCUUCCAGUGACUUGGAGGUGUGGCGAAGACUUAAGGUCUCUAUUGUCAGAUCAAAGGCUAGUACAUUGUUUUGGAGGGUGUUCGUCUACUCUUACCAUUCCUUUCUGCUUGGGGAUGUUACGGGCUUUGGUACUUCUGAUGUCUAUUAUAUAAUUUAAAUUUAAUUUAAAAUUUUCAUGAUCCCUUCCUUCCGUAGUCCACUAUGUUUAUGGAAAUACCUUAUGCAUCAAUCAUUCUGGCAGUAAUCACUCGGAAGCCCAUACGGGCUUUGGUACUUCUGGUGUCUAUUAUAUAAUUUAAAAUUUUCAUGAUCCCUUCCUUCUGCAGUCCACUAUGUUUAUGGAAAUACCUUAUGCAUCAAUCAUUUUGGCAGUAAUCACUUGGAAGCCCAUGUUCCUGAUCCUCAUUUAAGAGAGCAGUGAUUUGCGUAUCACUGCUUAAUCCCAACUGUUAAUUGUGCUGUGACCUGCCCAUUUAAUUCACUUGCACCUAUUUUGCUUCUCUAUUAAUUUCUGAUUAGCUUAAUCCCAGGCCCUUUCUUUUUGGGGAUUGUUUUCUUGUAAACUAUCUAAUUCUGCGAUUGAACAUGCAUGUAUUGGCGGUUCCUGGUGUUUUGAUGAUUCAUCAUGAUCUGAAAAGAAUUAACAUUAUGCUUGGUAUAUUAAUUAGUUUUGAUGGUAUGUAUAUAACCUAAAUUUCUGGAUGGUUGGGAUUAAUGGACAGCUCUGAUAUUGGUUUUCAUCUUGGUGUCGAGUUUUAAGUUGGGUUCUGAUGUCCUGGUACUCCCUUGCACAACUCUAGUCCUAGCGAGAGGAUUGUGAAGAAAUAGGGGUCUCUUGGAUGAUUAUGUUAUUCAGAUAUCCACGAUAUUGUGGUUUGAAUCAUGGAAUCUCUUGAUGCCAUCCUGUUAUUGUGUUUGUUGAAAACAUCACUGAUGCAUUAGUCAUGCUUUAUAAUCUGUUUAAUUCUGCAGAUUGGAUUUAGGAGUUUUGGUCAUGGUUUGGUUCUUAAGUAACAGGUUCAAGAUAAAUGUUAUAGGCCUUAUGGAAUUGAAUAGCACGGUGGGAUGAUGGUUCACAUAUAUUUCUUCAAUUUUUUAGCUUUUGAUGGAUGAAUUCUGAAUUACUCAUGAUGGUCGUCCAACUAUGCUGUGUUUUCAGCAUUUUUACUAUUGAGUUCAUAAAGUAUUUGAAAGAAUAAAGGGUGCAUGGAAAUAUUUGGUUUGUCAUGUUCUUCAGGGUGCAUAGAAAUAAUUGGUUUGUCAUGUUCUCCAGGGUCCAGUACAAGUUUUUGGAAAAUUCUGACGUCAAUUAGCUUCUUCAUCUGUCAAAAUUCUCUCUGUUGCUGUUUGAUGUUAUUGCUGUAGACUGACGGGGUGAAUUAUCAGAAUUAGGAGAUGCAAAGAAGAAUUUCAAUUUAUGGUUCACCAUAAUCCUGAUUGAUUUUGCACAUGUUGAAUGUGAUGUUGCAUAACUGGUUUCCAUUUAGGGAGCUUGAAUUCAAGAAUCUCUGGUCAUUUUGUUACCUGGUAUUGUGGUCUACAUGAUUUCGAAGGAGUUCCUCGCUCGUGUGGUUGUGCCUGGUUUUCUUUGUACAGCACUAUAGUUUUUUAAAUUAUGGCAUUCAAUUUCAGGAAGAGCUGGGGGUUGAACUCGGAUGAAUGUUUUCAAGCCUGAAUUUCUGCAUUACUAAUUCAUACUAGUUGCAUGCUACUGAUCACCAAGAAAUCGAAACAGACGUAGAGGUUUCUCAUCCUGAUCAUUUGUAAUGGUUAUGUUUUGAGCACAAUUGCAGUGUCAUUUGUUUGUCCAGGUUUAUUCAUGACGGUGUUGUCAAUAUACUUUGAAGUUGCAGAUUCUGCUUUGAUAGCAUGAGAGGAGUUUUGGUUGUCUUUAGCGAAGUUUGGUAUAUUCUGUAGCAAGCAUUUUUAUUCCAUUGAAUUUAAGAUAUCUUUACCUCAACCAGUUCUUGAGUUCAAUAUCCAGAAAUUGGGAUUUCUAUUUGUCUCUCCUUUCAAGUUGUAUAGAUGGUGAAGAUGUAGCGCUUCCUAGUCUACCUGGAAUUUGAUUGACAACUUUGAAUGUGGAAAGAAACUUCUGAUAGACUGGGGGGUGCAGCCUAAGAUGUAACUCAGUAUGGAUUAUCAAGUUCAUGGUCAUGGUCAAGUUGUUGGUAUAUUUCUUGCCGCCUCUAUCGUUCUUGGGCUUUUGGUGUGUUGUAACUGGUAUGCCCACUAUUAUAGACGAGGGUCAGAAAUCCACGGUGGUCCUAUCACCAUUGAAUACUUGCUGCUAGCCUCCAUUAUCUAUAAUUGAAUGGAAGAAAACAUUUGGUUAUUCGCACUUGUAAGCAGAUGCUGGUUCAGUCAUGUUAGAACAGAUGCAUGCAAUAUCUGUUUUGGAAGUCAUCGACUUACAUACCACUGGUAUUGCUAUUGGUAUUGUUUAGUCAUGUAAGAACAGAUGCAAUAUCUGUUUUUGUAGUCAUCAACUUGCAAACCACUGGUACUGGUAUUGUUUGUGAAUUUCAUUUCAUACUUGAAUUUUGUGAUCCGCUGGUACAUGGGUUUAGUAUGCAAUUUGAAGUGCAUGUAACUGAAUUUUGUUUUCUUUAGGGAGAAGUUAUUGGACAAUAUUUUCUUAUGGCCUUGACAGA